rnacentral:rRNA from 1 species
GAAGCUGGAAUCGCUAGUAAUCGCGGAUCAGAAUGCCGCGGUGAAUACGUUCCCGGGUCUUGUACACACCGCCCGUCACACCAUGGGAGUCGGAAAUGCCCGAAGCCGGUGACUCAACCUGCAAAGGAGAGAGCCGUCGAAGGCAGGUCUGAUAACUGGGGUGAAGUCGUAACAAGGUACC